rnacentral:hammerhead_ribozyme from 1 species
AUCCGGCUGGCGAGUCCCAAAUAGGACCAAACGCGCGUAAUGGAU